rnacentral:rRNA from 1 species
UACGUAGGGGGCUAGCGUUGUCCGGAAUCAUUGGGCGUAAAGAGCGCGUAGGCGGCCAGGUAAGUCCGGUGUGAAAGUCACAGGCUCAACCUGUGAAUGCCGCUGGAAACUGUCUGGCUAGAGUCCGGAAGGGGCGAGUGGAAUUCCUGGUGUAGCGGUGAAAUGCGCAGAUAUCAGGAGGAACACCAAUGGCGAAGGCAGCUCGCUGGGACGGUACUGACGCUGAGGCGCGAAAGCGUGGGGAGCGAACAGG